GGUUCUAUAGUGUAGCGGUUAUCACUCCGGAUUCUGAAUGACGUUCAUUCCGGCAACCCCGGUUCGAUUCCGGGUAGGACCU